rnacentral:lncRNA from 1 species
AGAGAGAGAGAGAGAGUAGGGCUACUAUACUCUUAUGAGUAUAGAGCCCUUCGUACUCAUAAGUUGUUUUCGAUGUUCGGGCUUCCGAAUUGACGAUCCAUAUCAUUAAACAUGAUCUAGAGUAUUUGAAACUUCUAGAAAAUAAAUUUCGUAAUUUUUUGAAAUCAUUAUAAAGUCUGUCAAGCGGAUAUAAAAUGAGCAGUCAAACUCGCACGAUAUUCUAAAAAUGGAUGAUCGGAUCCUUCAAUUUAAGAUCAGGGUUAUUGAUCUUUAUCUAGGUAAUGAAUAGAAUUUUCUAUCAAAAAUUCAAGCUAUUCCGAUUCUUUUAUACCGUUAAACUAGCAAGUAUCACAUACCGGCCGUUAAAAAUUGUCAAUUUUGUGAGCUAUUGAUCAUAAGGUAAAUGGUAUCGAAAAACUAUAAAAUUUAAUUUCUAGAAGUUUUAAAUGUUCUAGAUAAUGUUUAACGGUCUGGAUCGUCAAUUCGGAAGGUCUAUCAUCGAAAACAACUUAUGAGUACGAAUGUGAUCGUACUCAUAAGAGUAUAGUAGCCGGACUAUAUAGAGUCCGGCUACAAUACUUUUAUGAGUAUUGGCUCACUUAUAGUCAUGAGUUUUUGACCCUUAGAUUUAUUCCAUUGAUCAUUUGCACCCGUUAGAUCAUACUAUUCAACCAAUUACCCACUCAACCCUAGAGAACCACUAUUAUUCUAAGGGGGGAUCACCAUCAUCCUAACCACAUAUCCCAUCAAUCAACGGUUAAAAAUUUAUAAAUAUAAGGGGGUCUAUACUCAUAAGAGUAUAAUGGCCCCAGCCUAUAUAUAUGUGUGUGUAAUAUGAAGCUCGGUGGGUCGACUUAUAUAUAGCCCAUGAAUUGUCUCUUUGGCAUCUUACGUCCACAAAUAUAUUUUGCAUACAUAAGUCAAUAAGUAACUGUCCCAGGCAGAAAAAUUAUGAAGGUAAUUGCUUAAAUAUUCUUAGAAAAUUUUCGAAUGUUUUAUUUACUUUUUAUGAAAGACUAAUAUAAAAAAUAUUUUUUUAAUGUUCAAAGUUAUUUCAAAUAUGUUCCUAAAAUUAAAUUGAAACUGAUGUUUUCUCUGUAAAAUUAUUAUUUUGCCUUUUCAAAUAUACUCUCCUACCAUCAUUAACUUUUCUUAUUUGUCGUUAAGUUAGGGAGAAAAGAAGUAUUUUGACUUCCUUUUA